UUUUUGUUUUUAAUUUUUCAUAACACAAUAACCCUUCUUUUUCCUCAUCUUUCUCCAGUCCUUCACAGAAAAGAUCAGAACCUCACAUAUCCUAUCUUUUUUCUUCAAUUCUUAAUUUUUUUCUAUCAGGAUUUGUCUUCCUAUGUUUAAUUCUUGUACAAUUUGAGUAAUUUUGACUUAUGGUGAUUGUGGGAUUGCAAUUGAUAUUAUUUCUUAGAAGUACCCAAUUGAAAUUUCUUUUUGCUUUACCAGAGUAUUUGUGCUUACGCUGUGUAUGAAUUCCAUUGUGAUGAAUCAAAAGAGAAAAGCAAAAAGCAUUUUGAAGUUAACUAAUAGAGAAUUUAAAGUUAAUCCUAAUUUUGUUGUUGAUGAUGAUGGUUUCUUUUUUUUUUUUUUAAGUUCAGCUAAAGGAUGUAUAAGAUGUGUAUAAAACUGUAUAAUUAUUGUAUAAAGUACAUAUCUAUAUAAGAUUUAUAUAGAAACAUUAUAGAAUGUGUAUAAAACUAUAUUAUUAUUGUAUAGAAUAUGUAUCUAAGUAAUUCUUGAACAUAUAUGUUGUACCGGAUGUGUACAGAAACUGUAUAACUAUUGUAUAUAAUAUGUAUCUUAAUAACUAUUGCGGCUAAAUGUUGUAUAGGAUGUGUAUGAAAACUAGAUAAUUAUUGUGUAGAAUAUAUAUAUAUUUAAAUAAUUAUUAUACUAAAG
rnacentral:lncRNA from 1 species